CUGCCUCCCUAACAAUGAUUUCAAAGUUGAAGCAGUGCUUGCACCUCCCGAGGUAGCUGGUUUAUUGCCAGCAAUGUCUGAGGAUGUCUAUGCUGACAUAGAAUGUGAGCUCUGGGAGGAAAUUAAGUUGUUGAAACAGAGAUAUGAAAGGAUCUUCCAGUCACUUGACAAAUUGGAAGAGAUUCUGGAAACCAAAAGAGAAUAAGGAAACACUAAAGAAUGAAAAUUGCAAUUUGAUUUGGCACCUUGAGAGAGCAUCCAGCCUUACCCACUAGACCACCAGGGAAUAAUUUGUCACCUUGAGAAGACUGAAAAAAAUCAACAUCUUCCUCAAAGAAAAUGGAAU